GUAACACUCCCUCCGUUCGGAAAUACUUGUCAUUGAAAUAGAUGUAUUUAAAUGUAUUUUAAUUCUAGAUACAUCCAUUUUCAUUUAUUUUGAUGACAAGUAAUUCCGGAUGGGGGGACUACUUU
rfam:Triticum aestivum genome assembly, contig: Triticum_aestivum_CS42_TGACv1_scaffold_112159_2AS